GGUGACGAGGCCGAGGAUGUUCUUGCCGUUGAUGGUGUUGUUCUUAAGGCACUGGCAGAAGAUGGGGAAGUUGACGAUGACGCCGAUCUGGAGGUCCUCAGGGACGAGGGUGGGGUUCACCAGCUCGACGGCUGGGUAGGCGGUGAGGUUGCCGUACGUGACGGUGGAGACCAAGUAGAAGGUGUCGUCGGCUUUGAUCUGGUAGUAGGCAGGCGAGUAGGAGCGAUUCCGGUCGCAGGAGCAGGUGAGGGGAACGAGGAGGAGCUGGCCCUGGCGGAGGGGAAGGGUCGAGUCGGCGACGGUGAGGUUGGUGGUCCGGGCGAUCAUGGCGCGGCUGACGCCGAAGAGGUCGCCGACGGAGGCGAGGUCGACGGAGAGGGGUACCUCGGUGGGUUCGGCGCGGUACAGCGCGUAGGCCUGGCAUGGGUAGAUGCUCCGGUCGGCGGAGCAGCGC
rnacentral:lncRNA from 1 species